rnacentral:rRNA from 1 species
CAGCAGCCACGGUAAUACGUAGGGUGCAGGCGUUAAUCGGAAUUACUGGGCGUAAAGCGUGCGCAGGCGGUUAUAUAAGUCAGAUGUGAAAUCCCCGGGCUCAACCUGGGAACUGCAUUUGAGACUGUAUGGCUAGAGUGUGUCAGAGGGGGGUAGAAUUCCACGUGUAGCAGUGAAAUGCGUAGAGAUGUGGAGGAAUACCGAUGGCGAAGGCAGCCCCCUGGGCCAAUACUGACGCUCAUGCACGAAAGCGUGGGGAGCAAACAGGAUUAGAUACCCCUGUAGUCCCUGUCUCUUAUAC